rnacentral:misc_RNA from 1 species
GAUGAAGAACGUAGUGAAAUGCGAUAAGUAAUGUGAAUUGCAGAAUUCAGUGAAUCAUCGAAUCUUUGAACGCACAUUGCGCCCGCCAGUAUUCUGGCGGGCAUGCCUGUUCGAGCGUCAUUACAACCCUCAGGCCCCCGGGCCUGGCGUUGGGGAUCGGCGGAAGCCCCCUGCGGGCACAACGCCGUCCCCCAAAUUCAGUGGCGGUCCCGCCGCAGCUUCCAUUGCGUAGUAGCUAACACCUCGCAACUGGAGAGCGGCGCGGCCACGCCGUAAAACACCCAACUUCUGAAUGUUGACCUCGAAUCAGGUAGGAAUACCCGCUGAACUUAAGCAUAUCAAUAAGCGGAGGA